UACGGAGGGAGCUAGCGUUGUUCGGAUUUACUGGGCGUAAAGCGCACGUAGGCGGAUCCUUAAGUCAGGGGUGAAAUCCCGGGGCUCAACCUCGGAACUGCCUUUGAUACUGGGGAUCUCGAGUCCGGGAGAGGUGAGCGGAACUGCGAGUGUAGAGGUGAAAUUCGUAGAUAUUCGCAAGAACACCAGUGGCGAAGGCGGCUCACUGGCCCGGUACUGACGCUGAGGUGCGAAAGCGUGGGGAGCAAACAGG
rnacentral:rRNA from 1 species